CAUGACAGUCGAGCGAACAGAUAAGGAGCUUGCUCCUUUGACGUUAGCGGCGGACGGGUGAGUAACACGUGGAUAACCUACCUAUAAGACUGGGAUAACUUCGGGAAACCGGAGCUAAUACCGGAUAAGAUUUUGAACCGCAUGGUUCAAUAGUGAAAGACGGCCUUGCUGUCACUUAUAGAUGGAUCCGCGCCGUAUUAGCUAGUUGGUAAGGUAACGGCUUACCAAGGCAACGAUACGUAGCCGACCUGAGAGGGUGAUCGGCCACACUGGAACUGAGACACGGUCCAGACUCCUACGGGAGGCAGCAGUAGGGAAUCUUCCGCAAUGGGCGAAAGCCUGACGGAGCAACGCCGCGUGAGUGAUGAAGGUCUUCGGAUCGUAAAACUCUGUUAUCAGGGAAGAACAAACGUGUAAGUAACUGUGCACGUCUUGACGGUACCUGAUCAGAAAGCCACGGCUAACUACGUGCCAGCAGCCGCGGUAAUACGUAGGUGGCAAGCGUUAUCCGGAAUUAUUGGGCGUAAAGCGCGCGUAGGCGGUUUUUUAAGUCUGAUGUGAAAGCCCACGGCUCAACCGUGGAGGGUCAUUGGAAACUGGAAAACUUGAGUGCAGAAGAGGAAAGUGGAAUUCCAUGUGUAGCGGUGAAAUGCGCAGAGAUAUGGAGGAACACCAGUGGCGAAGGCGACUUUCUGGUCUGUAACUGACGCUGAUGUGCGAAAGCGUGGGG
rnacentral:rRNA from 1 species